rnacentral:rRNA from 1 species
UACGUAGGUGGCAAGCGUUGUCCGGAUUUACUGGGCGUAAAGAGCGCGCAGGCGGUCGUUCAAGUCGCGUGUGAAAGCCCCCGGCUCAACUGGGGAGGGUCACGCGAUACUGAUCGACUCGAAGGCAGGAGAGGGAAGUGGAAUUCCCGGUGUAGUGGUGAAAUGCGUAGAUAUCAGGAGGAACACCGGUGGCGAAGGCGGGUCUCUGGACAGUUCCUGACGCUGAGGCACGAAGGUCAGGGGAGCAAACGGG